rnacentral:lncRNA from 1 species
CCGUUUGGGACGAGCGGGACGUCUCGGGUUGUGAAGGGUCCAGCGGAGACAUGUGUGUGGCCGCUGCAGACGCCGAGGGGCUUGGCCGCGGGUCGGGUGGAUCUGUGCACUCCUGGGACCGACCCCUCGGCUAUGCUCCGAUUGCCCCCCCCGCCCGCGAACAGCCCCUGGGUCAGGACGGCCUCCUGAACCUUCCUGGGUUUAGAAAAGACGCAAAUGACAACCUUCGCCCGGUGCCCGUGGGUGCCCGUGCUGCCAACCCCACUCUUCUCGGGCCACAGUUCCCCCCUCGGUAGUGAGAAGAGGGCGAACUUAGUAGCUCCUGCCCAGGGAGCGCUGCACGCCAGCCCCGACUGCCUUGAACAUAUUUCCUCUGCUCAGAGGAUCUCCCUGGCACCUCAUUCUAUGCUAGCAUGCAGUAGGUGCUUAAUAAAUACCGGUUCAAUGAAUUUACUGCCCCCUGAGCCUUUUGAGGGAGGGGAAUGCAGUAGGUCGAGGUCCUGGCUCAGAUGGGGGCCACUCCAACCUGGGUGGCUGGCCCAAUUGUCUGGGACAUGCACCCGGGAUCCAGUGGGUCUCAAUUUUGGGAAUGCCAUGGCCUGUUAGAAGCACAGCUCGCUUGACAUUUUGAGUUCCCAGGAGGCCUGUGCACCAGAUUCCAGCGGGAAAUGGCAUCUUGGGUGUUGAAGGUGUUCAGGUUCCAGGAGCUACAGGGCUUCCUUCAGUGUUCUAGGCGUGGGCCCAGCCGAGAUUGCAUGUUGUUUAUGCGGCUCUUGUUCUAACCCAGUGCCCUCCGUUUUCUUCCCUGUUGCCUUCCCCGCCUCAUGUGGC